GACGAACGCUGGCGGCGUGCCUAAUACAUGCAAGUCGAACGCAGUGGGGACGGGUGAGUAACACGUUGGUAACCUCCCAUCAGAGGGGAUAACACUUGCAAACAGGUGCUAAACCGAUAUCGAUGGAUGGACCCUCGGUGCAUUAGCUAGUUGGUGAGGUAACAGCUCACCAAGCCCACGAGGCAUAGACGACCUGAGAGGGUGAUAGGAAACACUGGGACUGAGACACGGCCCAGACGAAGACGGGAGGCAGCAGUGGGGAAUCUUCGGCAAUGGACGAAAGUCUGACCGAGCAACGCCGCGUGAGUGAAGAAGGGUGUCGGAUCGUAAAACUCUGUUGUUAGAGAAGAGGUAUCUAACCAGAAAGCCACGGCUAACUAGGUGCCAGCAGCCGCGGUAAUAC
rnacentral:rRNA from 1 species